UGUGGGACCCAAUACCGAACUUGAACUCACAACCCUGAGAUCAAGAGUCAGAUACUCAACCAACUGAGCCACCCAGGCACCCACACACAUACUCUUUUAGUUAUUUUUAAAGUUAGGUUUUUCACAUUCUUCCUAUAUGCACAGUUAUUUUCUUUGUUUAAUGCUUAUUGUUUUAUAACAAUUAUACCUUCCUAUAGCAUAGGUUAAAUAAGUAGUAUGUAGGAAAGCACUCUAAAUACAAAACAAACAAACAGACAAACAAAAACCAAAAAAAAAAACUUUUAGUAUUUAAUUGUGUUACGGGUGUUUUCACUUUGUCUUUUUACAACAUGUUAUUUGAGAAACUGAGGAAUAUUUUCCAUUUGCUGUUUUAAUAGUCAACUUUCUAAAUGUUUGACGUAACAUACAUAGAGGGAAUGAAAUACUGUUAGUCAAAUAUAUUUUUAUAGAUGACAUAGUACUCAGAUUAGGUGUUUAUUCUACUUAUUUUGAUAAAGAUUCCUCAGAUGAAGGUCAUAUUCAAAUUUAAAAAAAAAAGCAGGUUUAAAAAUUCUUUAGAUGACUGCAGUAUUUAAGUAAUAGUAAUGACAGUUCUUUUAAUUAUGUAGUGAUUGGCUAGGGAUGAAAUCUUACUUUUAUCACCGUGUAUCAAGGAAACAUGCUAUGUAGGUUCACAGUCCUCUUGGGGGCUUUCCUGGGCAGAAGACAGGGAGCGACUGAAGACUGAGGGCAGCCAAUCCAGGUUGGCAGGUACGAUUUUAAAACUAGCAGAGGAAAGUUACAUACCAGGCAGGGGCUCAACAAGACAACUAGAUCCCCACAGGUGCCCACCAAAUCUUACAAGCUUAUAAAGGGGCCUUAACUGGGCUCAGUCACAUGUACCAGGCAGGUGUUUUUAAUAGCACGGCACCAUCUCAAGGCUGUGUCUUUGGAGCAGCCUCUAGAAGCAAGAAAGGCAGGCAGGACCCACAUUCCAAGAACAGGGAGUGAGUGAGGAGCCUCCAGGUCCAGCUCACGGGUUUAUCAGCAGUCACGUCUUUUUUGAUCAAGUUCCUCAACACAUACUACAGAUACUGCAUUUUUAAGAAAAUUGCAUGUUGUGGCAAACCUGUGUCAAGCAAGUCUAUUGGGACCAUUUUUCAAACAGCUUUUGUUCACUUUGUGUUCCGUGUCACAUUUUGGAGAAGAAUUUCAGAAAGUGUGUGGAAAGCAUCACCUUGGGUCUACUUUGCAGAUUCUGAUCGACUAGGUUAAAGAUGAGGUGUAUGUAUUCUAGAAGAAAUCUUUAGUUUCUACAUUUGCUUCCUGUUGUGGUUGGUUAGUUAUAAGGAAUCAAGACUGAUCCAGCCUCAUUUUCUACAAGACUAUGCAACAAGACCCAGUGACAUCUGCACAUGCAAUGGGUUGUGUUAGCAGAGAGGAACUCUGAACUUUGAAAAUCCCAACCUUUUGUAAAAGGCUGCAAGCAAACCUAUUAAAACUUUUUCCUAGAUGGAAGCAUUACCUUUAUUAAACUAAUCAGGUAAGGUAUCUCUCUACCCUGAAGGGAGCUAUUUCUGUCCUUUCAAAGCCAUUUCUGUAUUACCAUCUCUGAAAAGACUGAAAAAAAAAAAAGGUAGCCAGUGUCUCUCCUCACACAACGUGGAGAAAUGCAAAGGAUUCACAAAGAAUUGUCUCACAACUAUAAGUUACAGUUCAUUUUGUUUUCAUACUGAACACUACCAUGUAACUGGCAGGUCAAGAAAUGAACAUUACCAGCAUCUCUGAAACCCGUUUCAUUUCCCCUUCCUUCCACCCUUCCCCCACCAAGUAUAACCACUAUCCUGAAAUAUAACAGCAUAAAUUGCUUAUUUUUUGUACUUAAAAUAUUAAGUGAAAAAAGAUCAUAUACUAUGUACUCAGUCAUGUCUGCUUUGUUCAUUCAUGAUUUGAAUUUGUAUGUAUUGUGAAAUGAUCACUGCAAUAAGUCUAGAUGCCAAACAUACUACACAUUGUUAUAGAAUUGUUUUGUCUUGUGAUCCGAACUUUUAAGAUGUAGUAUCUUAGCAACUUUCAAGUAUGCAUUAUAAAAUUAACUAUAGUAACUAUGCUAAAUAUUAUAUUUCCAUGACUUAUUAUUAGAAUUUUGUAUCUUUUGGCCCUCUUCACCCCUGUCUAUAGGUGUUGAUGUUCAUUGCUGUAUAAACUUUACUGAGUAGCUAAAACACCUCUGUCAUUUGGUAGUUUCUAAUUUUGUCUAUAAUGAAUGUACAUUUUGUGACAUUUAGAGACCAUUUAGUUAUUUUGUACUCAUUCUCUUAUCACCACACAAUAAAGCAAUAUUUCUGUUUUUUUGCAAGAAAA